AUCGCUGUCACUGCCCAGAUGGAAGGUCUUGCCGGGAAACACCUCCCUGAGUUUUGAUUGGAAGAAGGCCUUUAGGCUCCGCCCAGCCUGUGCCACUUCAGAGUCGGGCUGCGUUGGGGAGAGACAAAGUGGAGGGGUGGAUUAAAGAGUGAUGCAUAAUGGACAAUGGCACAGAACACAGGAUCCAGGCCCCAGGGGGAAAAAGGUUCCUCUCUCGGAAAGCAAUACACAACACAGAACCGAUCGGAGGUCAUUACCUCUCCCGCAGCACCACGGAUCGCGUUGCGUAUCGCCGCCUGAGCUCUCUGGACAAGGGACAAACACAGAGGGGGUAACUCAUUAACACAGAGGCGAUAACAUAACCCCCCAUCGCUCACGAGCGUCUCUGACCACGGGAAGACCCGAGGCUGACCA